rnacentral:lncRNA from 1 species
AGUGUGAGAUGCUUUUUCUUGGAAGUCUGGGGAAGGCAAUCGUUUGUCGUGGUGCGGUUGUGGGCACCGUUGUUGCUCCCAAGUUGAGCCUUGACGGUCUUCUUCUAACCCAUCCUCUAAUUUUUGCGGUUUAAGAUUUCUCUAGAAGCUCUUUUCCAUCCCCCCUCUCUUUCCACAAUUUCUUUUGCAGCCCUUUUUGAGUUUUUGUUAAUCCGAGCAUAAUGUGUAAGUUUUUGUUUUUUGUCUUUCCCCACUAGCAGUGCAUAAUGCAUAUAAGGAGGAGAAGGGAGUCUUGCUUGAGCGUAUAUGAUUAGCUCGAUUGGUUAUUAGUUCUAAAGCUCUCCACCAGGUUAGCAUGUUAUUUUUGUUUUCUUAAGAUUUUUUUUUUUUUUUUACAAAUUUUGUUGCUAGGCGCAUGAUAGCAUGUAAUUUUUUUCAAUAACAAUUUGAAAAACAUCCGUCAAGGGUAUUACAUAUGCUUAAAUAUUAGAUAUCAUUUACGAAUGUUUGGAUAUCAAAAGCACUCAAGAUUCAAAGAUAAUAUACUAAAAUUUCAUGUUACUCUUUCUUUUUGAGCCCUUUAGAGUUUUUGCCAUUUCGAGUUUAAAGUGCAAUUCAGCCAAUAUUUUCUUACAAUUUAUUUUUGUAAUUGGGAGUUCUUGAGCAAGUGAUAACUUUAGCGGUCAAACAUGUAAGGUAUCAUUUGGAUUGUCACUUUUCAAAAAAUUUUUUUAAAAAAAUAUUUCAUCUACACAUUUUCUAACGAGUACUUUGUUAUCGCAGAUGCAUUACAUCUCUACAAUAAUUUUUUUAUAAAAAUUCCAAAGAGUUGUAAUCCAAACAAACUCUAAAUAUUUCUUGUGCGAUCUCAAAGAAGCCUUUUUUUCAUCUUUUAUUUAUUAAAUAAUUAAUCCCUACCUCAAGUUACGAAGAAUGUUCCAAAAAUGUUGAGCGAAAACGAAGGAAUUCAACUGGCAAAAAAAACGAAAGGUCACGGUUGUGGAGAGUGGGAUUUGAACCCACGCCCUUUCGGACCAGAACCUUAAUCUGGCGCCUUAGACCAACUCGGCCAUCUCCACUUUGUUGAUUCUGCAUUUGUUUAAACUGAAAUUUAAUAUCAAUUAUUUAUUUGUGUUUUUGAAGAAUACAGCAUUUUUGGGCUGUCUUUAAAAAGUUACACGCAUAUGCUUACUCAGACAUUAUUUUGACUUGUUUUUAUAGAUUCAGGUACCAUCCCGCUUUCAAAAAACUCAACUUUCUUUUUGUUGAGUUUGGUCAAUCAAUUUCGGCAGCGGGGUGACGGCAAAUUGUGCGUACCAGUUCUGAGAAGUUCUCUUUGGUUUCUGUCCAAACCAAGGCCAGAAAAAAUUGAAAAAAAAAAAUGGAAGAUGAAAGAAAGAUCAUAUAGAAAUGGAUUAAUUUUCUGUACACUGAUAACGUAUAUAUUGUCAU